UUGUUAGUGGCAGACGGGUGAGUAAUGCGUAGGAAUCUACCUAGUAGUACGGAAUAGCCAUUAGAAAUGGUGGGUAAUACUGUAUAAUCCCCGAGGGGGAAAGAUUUAUCGCUAUUAGAUGAGCCUACGUUAGAUUAGCUAGUUGGUGAGGUAAUGGCUUACCAAGGCUAUGAUCUAUAGCUGGUCUGAGAGGACGAUCAGCCACACUGGAACUGAGAUACGGUCCAGACUCCUACGGGAGGCAGCAGUGGGGAAUAUUGGACAAUGGGCGAAAGCCUGAUCCAGCUAUGCCGCGUGAGUGAAGAAGGCCUUCGGGUUGUAAAACUCUUUC
rnacentral:rRNA from 1 species